ensembl:lncRNA
CCGCCCGGAGGUGUUGCACAGAAAGAUGGAAAGUUGUCUCCUUUCAGCUCAGCGGCUGGAAAAAAAAAACAACCAAAAAAACCCAACGACCACAAGGAAAUCAAUAAACACCUGUUAUUCCCAGAUCCGUAGUUACUUGGACUCAAAGGUGCCUGCAGGCAAAGUUAAAACAAAACCCCCGCAGAACUCUGCAGCACUGUGUUCCUGCUCUGUGAUUCACGGGGCGGUGGGCGAUGGUGAGCAGCAGAGCCUGGCUGGGACCCCCCCGGCAGUGACAUGGGGGAUGCCGCGCAGCCAGCCCCAUCCACAGGAUGAGAUUUAUGGCCACGUGCCGGAGGUUUCGUGCCUCUGCUCAGGUGGAUUUGAACCCCGCUUUUCUGCUGGCGGCUCGUGCUUUCUGCUUUACCCUUUCAGAGGCUCUUUCUCUUCCAAGCUGUAA